GUGGAAACUAAAAAUUAAAAAUGGAAGGAAAACCCCAAAAUCGGAUGCAGGAGGUCAGUGCAGAUGAAAUAGGACGCCAAUUCCAAGCUUUUGCCCUUUAUUGUGGGAUUUCACCGACAGGAAGCAAUUCCACAAAAGGGGCAAAUUCGCAAAAUAGUUAAAGUGCUGGAUGAGAUCCACAAGAGAAUCCCAGUGGGAAGGAACAUGCCGAGUGGGACUUCGAUCUCUACAUGGACAUCCUGACGGCCGCGUCCUUGCAAAGAAAAACAACCUGUAAUACGAUCUCCGACGACCUCUUCACUAGGACUCCGGAUACAACCACCACCAGCUGAUUGGCAGCUUAAGCGGAGCUGGGAACAGUUGGAGAAGCCAUAGCCAGCCACAGCCAGGAUGCUGGGUGACUUCCGGCAGCAGCGGAUCAGCCCCGUUCUCCCACUUCCUCAAGGUCAAAUAUGCCUAUAGCGACUCGUAGGUGUACUGCGGUGGAGCGGGAAAGAUUUCAAACCAUUCGUGGGACGAGAUAGAAGCUUUAAACUACUAAUUUACAUAAAUAAAAACAUUCGUCAAACAUUCCAUUCGCCUGCAACGUCUUGCGGCUCAGAAAGGAUCGCAGAUAUUCACUUAAACCAUCCAUAAUCAGCAAAAUACUUUUCUUGAGCAAGAUCUACGAUCUCAUAGAUUGGUUUAUAAAAAGACGAAAUGUACCAAA